rfam:Picea glauca, whole genome shotgun sequence.
ACAUGCCUACAGCAUAGCGCUAAUGCACCAAAUCCCAUUAGAAAUCCGUAGUUAAGCACGCCCAAGCUAGAGUAGUACUAGGAUGGGUGAUUGCCCGGGAAUUCCUAGUGUUUUACAUGCC